GACGAACGCUGGCGGCGUGCUUAACACAUGCAAGUCGAACGGUAAGGCCCUGCUUUUGUGGGGCGCUCGAGUAGCGAACGGGUGAGUCACAAGUGAGUUACCUACCCCUGACUUAGGGAUCUCUUCAGGAAACUGUGGCUAAUGCCAGGUGGGAGUUCUGGCUGCUUGGUGGGGGUUGGAACGGUUCGGCGGUUGGGGAUGGACUGGCGGCUUAUCAGCUUGUGGGGGGGGUAGCGGCUUACCAAGGCUUUGGCGGGUAGCCGGCCUGGGAGGGUGACCGGCCACAUUGGGACUGAGAUACGGCCCAGACUCCAACGGGAGGCAGCAGGGGGGAAUAUUGCACAAUGGGCGGAAGCCGAAUGCGGCAACGCCGCGGGCGGGAUGAGGGCCUUCGGGUGGUAACCCGCUUUCGCCUGGGACGAGGCGUUAGUGACGGUAACGGGUAAAGAAGCACCGGCUAACUACGUG
rnacentral:rRNA from 1 species